UACGUAGGGGGCAAGCGUUGUCCGGAUUCAUUGGGCGUAAAGAGCGUGUAGGCGGCCAGGUAGGUCGGUUGUGAAAACUGGAGGCUCAACCUUCAGAGGUCGACCGAAACCAUCUGGCUAGAGUCCGGGAGAGGAGAGUGGAAUUCCUGGUGUAGCGGUGAAAUGCGCAGAUAUCAGGAAGAACACCCGUGGCGAAAGCGGCUCUCUGGAACGGUACUGACGCUGAGGUGCGAAAGCGUGGGGAGCAAACAGG
rnacentral:rRNA from 1 species